rnacentral:rRNA from 1 species
CAGCGCCACGAGUGGCAAUCACGAUUAUUUGGCCUAAAGCGUCCGUAGCCGGUUUAAUAAGUCUUUUGUGAAAUCGUUGGGCUCAACUUAACGCUGUGCAAGAGAGACUGUUAGACUUGGAACCGGGAAGGGUCAGAGGUAUUCUGGGGGGAGCGGUAAAAUGCUAUAAUCCCUAGAGGACUACCUGUGGCGAAGGCGUCUGACUAGAACGGCUUCGACGGUGAGGGACGAAAGCUGAGGGAGCAAUCCGGAUUAGAUACCCGCGUAGUCC